GGUUGCUAUCUCAAUUGCCCAAAUAAUUGUCAUGAGCUCGGCAUGAAGCAUUAUAUACAUUUUAAACACUUAUUAACUUGUUUUACAAGUAACUUAUUAGAAAGCCCCAACUAAAUGCAUUUCUACCUAAAUUCCCUUAUUUUUAUAGGUAAUCAAGGAGUUGGAGCAAAAGGAACAAGAAAAUCUAGCCAAAUGACCUUCACUCAGCCAACAUAAGGAGCAAACUUGCACUGUUUCCUCGCAUGAAGUCUUACCAGAGCGUACUAGGAGCGAACUAAGUCAGAAUGUAAAUAUGCCUGCUCGCCAGGACUUCGCUCAAUUUAGUAUUUGUUCAAUCUUUUGGCCGCUCAAUUUAUCUCGUCCAAAAACAUAUUUAAAAACAAACACAGUUUUCAAAUACCUUAUUUCUUAAGAGAUCACAUGCAACCUGAAAAACUAUAGUUAAACUUAGAUCAUAUCACAAAUUUAGUGAUUUAGAUUUAACUUAUUAGCCAUCUGAUCAAAAAUAAAUGAACAAGAUUAAAUACUAGGUUCGACUAUCAAGUCAACAUUGAAUAAAUCUGAACCGCUCCAUCUAAACUCUAUGGCCAAGAUUGAUAACCGCGUGAAACUACGUGAAUACGUUAUAGCAGCAAAUCCAGAUCCCAUAUUUAGUGAUCAAAAUAAUGCACCACCUACUCUGCAGUAGUGCAGUUAGUUAAUAAUUGCAAAGCCAUAAAAAUAAGCAAUUCAUCAGCAUAUAAAUCAAUAAAAUCAAUAUCAAUUACAAUUAUCCCCCAUCCAGGCCACAACAAGGUACAAGGAGGAAUAAUUAUAUUACAACAUUCAUUAUAGAAUCAUAACUAAUUCAUACUCCCUAAUGGUUUUAAAUUGCAGUCGCAGUUAAGCUGCAAACCUCGACAAUAUUGUACCAAAAUACAAACAAUAGAUACAAUAAUUGCAAUUGCGAUGUUGUUGUUGAGACCUCUAAAACAAUUUUCUUUCUCCAUAAUCACAAUUUCGGACCACAAUUUAAGUCUAUGUCCUUCAACUCAAGCUUUCUUCUCCUUAACUGGGGCUAGUUCUGCUGACAUAAACACAAAACGAUAAACCAAAGCAGCANNNN
rnacentral:lncRNA from 1 species